rnacentral:rRNA from 2 species
GCAGUCGAACGCGUUGGUCCAUUGAUUGAUGGUGCUUGCACCUGAUUGAUUUUGGUCGCCAACGAGUGGCGGACGGGUGAGUAACACGUAGGUAACCUGCCCAGAAGCGGGGGACAACAUUUGGAAACAGAUGCUAAUACCGCAUAACAGCGUUGUUCGCAUGAACAACGCUUAAAAGAUGGCUUCUCGCUAUCACUUCUGGAUGGACCUGCGGUGCAUUAGCUUGUUGGUGGGGUAACGGCCUACCAAGGCGAUGAUGCAUAGCCGAGUUGAGAGACUGAUCGGCCACAAUGGGACUGAGACACGGCCCAUACUCCUACGGGAGGCAGCAGUAGGGAAUCUUCCACAAUGGGCGCAAGCCUGAUGGAGCAACACCGCGUGAGUGAAGAAGGGUUUCGGCUCGUAAAGCUCUGUUGUUAAAGAAGAACACGUAUGAGAGUAACUGUUCAUACGUUGACGGUAUUUAACCAGAAAGUCACGGCUAACUACGUGCCAGCAGCCGCGGUAAUACGUAGGUGGCAAGCGUUAUCCGGAUUUAUUGGGCGUAAAGAGAGUGCAGGCGGUUUUCUAAGUCUGAUGUGAAAGCCUUCGGCUUAACCGGAGAAGUGCAUCGGAAACUGGAUAACUUGAGUGCAGAAGAGGGUAGUGGAACUCCAUGUGUAGCGGUGGAAUGCGUAGAUAUAUGGAAGAACACCAGUGGCGAAGGCGGCUACCUGGUCUGCAACUGACGCUGAGACUCGAAAGCAUGGGUAGCGAACAGGAUUAGAUACCCUGGUAGUCCAUGCCGUAAACGAUGAGUGCUAGGUGUUGGAGGGUUUCCGCCCUUCAGUGCCGGAGCUAACGCAUUAAGCACUCCGCCUGGGGAGUACGACCGCAAGGUUGAAACUCAAAGGAAUUGACGGGGGCCCGCACAAGCGGUGGAGCAUGUGGUUUAAUUCGAAGCUACGCGAAGAACCUUACCAGGUCUUGACAUCUUGCGCCAACCCUAGAGAUAGGGCGUUUCCUUCGGGAACGCAAUGACAGGUGGUGCAUGGUCGUCGUCAGCUCGUGUCGUGAGAUGUUGGGUUAAGUCCCGCAACGAGCGCAACCCUUGUUACUAGUUGCCAGCAUUAAGUUGGGCACUCUAGUGAGACUGCCGGUGACAAACCGGAGGAAGGUGGGGACGACGUCAGAUCAUCAUGCCCCUUAUGACCUGGGCUACACACGUGCUACAAUGGACGGUACAACGAGUCGCGAACUCGCGAGGGCAAGCAAAUCUCUUAAAACCGUUCUCAGUUCGGACUGCAGGCUGCAACUCGCCUGCACGAAGUCGGAAUCGCUAGUAAUCGCGGAUCAGCAUGCCGCGGUGAAUACGUUCCCGGGCCUUGUACACACCGCCCGUCACACCAUGAGAGUUUGUAACACCCAAAGUCGGUGGGGUAACCUUUAGGAGCCAGCCG